rnacentral:rRNA from 1 species
UAGUAUAGCAAUAUAUGAGACCGGCGCACGGGUGCGUAACGCGUAUGCAACCUACCUUUUACAGGGGAAUAGCCCAGAGAAAUUUGGAUUAAUGCCCCAUAGUAUAAUUGAAUGGCAUCAUUUGAUUAUUAAAGUUCCAACGGUAAAGGAUGGGCAUGCGUCCUAUUAGCUAGAUGGUAAGGUAACGGCUUACCAUGGCUACGAUAGGUAGGGGUCCUGAGAGGGAGAUCCCCCACACUGGUACUGAGACACGGACCAGACUCCUACGGGAGGCAGCAGUGAGGAAUAUUGGACAAUGGGCGCAAGCCUGAUCCAGCCAUGCCGCGUGCAGGAAGACGCAUCUAUGGUGUGUAAACUGCUUUUGUACGGGAAGAAACACUCCCUCGUGAGGGAGCUUGACGGUACCGUAAGAAUAAGGAUCGGCUAACUCCGUGCCAGCAGCCGCGGUAAUACGGAGGAUCCAAGCGUUAUCCGGAAUCAUUGGGUUUAAAGGGUCCGUAGGCGGUUUAAUAAGUCAGUGGUGAAAGCCCAUCGCUCAACGAUGGAACGGCCAUUGAUACUGUUAGACUUGAAUUACAAGGAAGUAACUAGAAUAUGUAGUGUAGCGGUGAAAUGCUUAGAUAUUACAUGGAAUACCAAUUGCGAAGGCAGGUUACUACUUGUGGAUUGACGCUGAUGGACGAAAGCGUGGGGAGCGAACAGGAUUAGAUACCCUGGUAGUCCACGCCGUAAACGAUGGAUACUAGCUGUUCGGAGCAAUCUGAGUG